rnacentral:rRNA from 1 species
GUAACAAGGUUUCCCUAGGUGAACCUGCGGAAGGAUCAUUAAAGAUUAUGAAAGAGUAGAUUACUGGGGGAAAUGCUGAACAAGGCCUGCGCUUAAAUGCGCGGCCAGUUCAUGAUUCUCUGCUAUCAGUUUUCUUUUCUCUCAUCCUAAACACAAAGGAGUUUUUUCUCUAUGAACUACUUCCCUGGAAAGCUCGUCUUUCCAGUGGACAUAAACACAAACAAAAUUUUGCAUUAUGAAAAACUAUUAUACCAAAAAAAUUAAAAUUUAAAACUUUCAACAACGGAUCUCUUGGUUCUCGCAUCGAUGAAGAACGCAGCGAAAUGCGAUAUGUAUUGUGAAAUGCAGAUUUUCGUGAAACAUCAAAACUUUGAACGCACAUUGCGCCCUCUGGUAUUCCAGGGGGCAUGCCUGUUUGAGCGUCAUUUCUCUCUCAAACCUUUGGGUUUGGUAGUGAGUGAUACUCGUUUCCCGGUUAACUUGAAAGUGGCUAGCCCUUGCCUUCUGCGUGAGCAGGGCUGCGUGUCAAGUCUAUGGACUCGACUCUUGCACAUCUACGUCUUAGGUUUGCGCCAAAUCGUGGUAAGCUUGGGUCAAAGAGCUUAUAGGUGUUAUAAAGACUCGCUGGUGUUUGUCUCCUUGAGGCAUACGGCUUAACCAAAACUCUCAAAGUUUGACCUCAAAACAGGUAGGAAAACCCGCUGAACUUAAGCAUAUCC